UGGUGCUGAUUUCCAGUUUACUUACGUCUUCCGUGGCCCCUUAUUUGAACAGGGAUUAACAUUAUCGUUGUUCUAUGGGCUUAAUUGCUAUCAACAGAAGCAGUGACACUUGCGCGUAUCGCGCGUCUUGCCAUUGGUCUUGCGUGUGAUAUAUGGUUGCCAUGGUUUCCAUUUAAUCUGUAUCGCGGCGAUCGCACCGGUCAUGCCCUCGGUCGUGCUUCGGCUGCCCCAGCUCGUGUAAAACACGUGAAAUGUUCGCGAAAACCAUGCGCUGUAGCAAGCGCUCACUCUACGUUGAGCCACAUAACUUUAUCGCUGGCAAGAAAGUUGCCGCCACCGAUCCCGUCGGGGAAAUCAAGGUACUGCAACCAGCGACAGGCAAAGUACUGUGUCACGUAUCCUCCUCCGGACCGAAAGAUGUGGACAAAGCAGUUUCUGCAGCCAAGAAGGCAUUUGAACGGUGGUCAGCACUCUCCCAUGGGGAGCGUGGAAAAUUUCUCACGGCCAUCGCACAAAAAGUCAGAGAAAGGCAGCAGGAAAUUGCUGAGAUUGAAAUGAUUGACACAGGGAAGCCCAUAUGGGAAGCUCUUGUUGACAUUGACGGCUGCGCCGACGUGCUCGAGUACUAUGGUGGCAUCGCAGCAUCAAUAAAAGGUCAGCAGUUCGAUCUGCCUGGAGGAAGCUUUGCCAUGGUGCGCCGUGAGCCACUUGGUGUGGUGGCAGCCAUUGGUGCGUGGAACUACCCAUUCCAGGUGAUGUCUUGGAAAAUGGCACCUGCGCUUGUCUGCGGCAACACCUUUGUCUUCAAGCCGUCACCCCUGACACCCCUGUCGGCCAUCCUGCUGUCCGAGAUCUGCCGCGAUGUCGGCUUGCCUGACAGUGUCGUCAAUCUUGUCCAGGGCGAGGGCAAGACAGGUGAGCUGUUGUGCGAGCACCCGGAUGUGGCCAAAGUGAGUUUCACGGGUAGCAUAGCUACUGGGCAGGCCAUCAUGCGCCGCUGUGCUGACUCAAUGAAGCGCUGUACCCUUGAGCUGGGGGGCAAGUCUCCGCUAAUUGUCUUUGCUGAUGCAUCACCCACUGAAGCUGUGAAGGCUACGUUGCUGGGCAACUUUCUAACACAAGGGGAGGUGUGCAGCAAUUGCACCCGGGUCUUCGUAGAAAAGCCACUGCUGGAAGAGUUUCUGGAUCAGCUGGUGAAGGCAACCAAGAAGCUCAAAAUUGGUGACCCCUCCGACCCAGAGACCACUGUGGGUGCAACCAUCAGCGCUGAGCAUGCAGCACUAGUCCAGUCCUACAUCGAAGGCGCUAAAAAGGAGCUGGUGGUGCUGCCUGACAUCCUGGUCCAGAUAAUUUUCAACGCUUGUGGAAAUGGCUGGUGGCCCUCCGAUGCCUUGUGCCUGGCUUACCGAAGGCCUACUAGUUGCUUGUCGUCAUGCGGCGCCAGGAGCACGUGUGCUGUGUGGUGGGGAGCGGGUGACUCCUGCCAACCCAGACCUGUCUGGCGGUUUCUACCUCAGCCCCUGUGUGCUAGCCGACUGCACCGACAGCAUGAGAGUCAUGCAAGAGGAGGUGUUUGGUGCAGUAGUCAGCGUCUCUGCAUUUGAGACCGAGGAAGAAGCUCUGCGCCGAGCCAAUGGCAGCCCCUUUGGACUGGCUGCUGGCGUCAUGACUAAAGACCUGAGGAGAGCCCACCGAGUAGCAAAGAAGCUUCAAGCAGGCAUCGUCUGGAUAAACAACUACAAUGUGUUCCCACCAGAGGUACCCUUUGGAGGGUACAAGAUGUCGGGAUACGGACGAGAAAAUGGCCUGGCAGCACUGCAAGCCUACUCCCAGGAGAAAACAAUCUAUGUGGAAAUGGGUGACAGUGUGGACUGUCCACUUUACAAGUUGUGAAUGAAAUGCAGCUGAAUCAGGCUCAUGCAGUUGCAUUUUCCCAGACAUUACAGAUGGCUUGUGGAGGUUCAAUGCACUGUGCACGUCCUUGCAUCCUGGUGAUCCAACAUUUCAAAUUGUGGCUCAAUUGAUGGAAUCCCAAGCAACUUGAAUGAAAUAACCUGUUCUUUAAUUAAGAUAAUGCACGACAAGUCGUGCAGGAAUGCCCAGCAGUGUUAUAAUUUUUUAUCAUCUGUAAAUAAAAGUGCUAAGACAAGUUGAACGGUAA